ACAUAGCCAUGAGUAGUCUCAUUUCAAUUGAGACCAGGUCCUUCAAAGUUCUAUGUGGCAGAGUUGAGUUUUGUGUAAAAAGGAACAGUUUAUCUCAAAUAUUCUUCUUUACCUUUCAGAUUAAGGUGGAGGGGACAUACAGGCUUACUGAAACACAGAGCAAGUUCUUCUCUUUAGUUGUGUGUCCCUGUCCUAUGAAGGCUUGACAAAAGCAGGGCAAGAUCACAAAAGGGCUUUGUGAUGUAGGAGUGACUUUAAAAGGAAAGCUUGACCAAGAAACUACCAGACCACCACUGCUCCCUAGGGGUUGCAUUAUGUGGAUGCUCCUGCUGAACAUGAUUUGGAGAGAACAUAUCAGAGCUGCAGCAGAUCUUGACCUUUUUCACCUUUCUCUGGUCUUUCAAGAUGACUACAAUCUUCCUGGAAAAAGACAGGUCUCAGAGAAGAACACAUGUAAAUCUCAUCUUCUGACGUCUACAACUGUGCGUUCAGCAUGGGUGUCUGAAAAGGGGAAGCCCAACUACACUGGUUUCCUGACACUGUGGAGCUUUAUGCAGUCAGACAACUUUCUGAAGAAACUGCUACUGUAUUUGCGUGGAGGGAGUGAUGCCAUUUCAUUAACAGACUUCAUUCACCAUGAAGAAGAACAAGGGAGGUCUGCAGUUGCUUUGUAUUCCAAUCAGGAAUGCUCUUCUUUAGCUUUCUUCUUCUUCAUGCUCUGGAUACUCUGCUGCAGUUCCUAGAUGCCCCAACCAGCAUGGCCAGGAUAAGGAAUUCUGGGAAUUGCAGUCCGAAAUACAUGGAAGUCUGAAAGCUGAACAUCUUUAGGGGUAUUGAUUAUGACCUCUCACUUUGGGAAACAACGUACGGUAAAUGCUGUCAGAAGCCGUUGCUUCCAAGUAGGGUGCAUUUACAUUAAGAUUUAUAGCAAAAAUUAUAAUAAAAUCUGACUUAGAACACAAUUCUCUUGGCCAUGACUAUAAGGAUGCACCAAAUUACAUAUCACACAUUUUUUUAAAAACUAGCUCAGUUCUUUCUUCUUGCAUUCACUCAAUUACAGCUUCCUCCAAAUAUAUAAAAAGCUUUAUGGAAAUGUUUGCCUGUGUGUUAAAAACGCUUAUUGAAACACACUUGAUCUGUAUAUAGUUCAAUUCACUUAAACUGUGCAGGAACCAAAGCAUUUGCAUUGGUUAAUCUGUGAUGAAAGGCGGCAGCAACACAAUCCCAAAAGAAACGUAUUCUGGUGUUUUCACUGCAAACACCAAAGCUUAUAAAGCAUCAAAACAGCAUAGUAAAACAUUGCAUAGUGCCCUAGACAUUUUCCCCAUUACAGAAAAGAUCCAAGCUGGAGUGGGUUGCAGGGAAUGAAGCAACAAUUCUGAAAAUGUUAUUUUAUGUAUCAUUCUCAUGUGUUGAAAACUGGCUUGAAUGUGCUGGAAAACAGGUCAAGUGUUCAAAACCAGUUAGAAUAAAAUGAGACUCGUGAUGGUGAAAUUUGGCUGCAGGCCUGCAUCCAAUUAGUCAUGUCUUAACAGUUUUUUUGUUAAUAGUUCCCUGGCAUUGGAGAUGGUGGGGGAAGUAUAUAUAUGCCCGUCGACUUAUGAUGACCCCAUGAAUUUCACAGGGUUUUCUUAGUAAAGGAAUAUUCAGAGGUAACUUUGCCUGUUCCUUCCUCUGAAAUAUAGACAAAAGGAGAUUUACAUUUCUCCGCCCACAGUAACUUUUGCAGUCAUUUCCUGAUGGGAGUCUGAAACAGGCUAGCGUGACUAUAUACUUGGAAGGAAUUGCUUAAAGGAUUGCCUUAGAUUGGCUAAAGGAUUCCAACACAGUAUGGUCACUUUCAGAUUUCAGAAGCCUUACAAAUCAAUGGUGCAGUAGCUUCUUUAGCUUUCUUUAAACCAUCUAAUUCCAUCAGAUAUUAUUCAACAAUGGGGGAAACAAUUUUCUCACAUUAUACAGUAUGACUACCCAAUGUGUGUAUUUUCUUGCCUAGUUAUAUUUUAUUGAAUACGAAAAUAUGGGGAAGAAACUUUGAAUAGGUACUUACAUUUACUCUUCCCUACUUGCUUUUUCAUGCUGACUUUUGUACUAUUUGUUUAUAUGUGACACUUUGAAGUGCUUCCGUGAGCCGCUUCAAGCCGCUAUCAGGACCUCAAGAUUGAACUUCAAAGACUCUGGCAGAAACCAGUACAUGUGAUCCCAGUGGUGAUUGGCACACUGGGUGCCGUGCCAAAAGAUCUCAGCCGGCAUUUGGAAACCAUAGACAUUGACAUCAUUACGAUCUGUCAACUGCAAGAGGCCACCCUACUGGGAUCUGCACGCAUCAUCCAAGAAUACAUCACAGAGUCCUAGACACUUGGGAAGUGUUCGACUUGUGAUUUUGUGAUAUGAAAUCCAGCCUAUUUGUUUGCUGUGUCAUACUAUGUCUUUGUGUCAAUAAUAAUAACUAUUAUUAUUAUUAUUAUUAGAGCCAGAAUCCAAACAUUAUUGGUAAACAAACUGGACAGCUUACUUACUUAGGCGAUCCCUCGUAGUUCAAGGAUGAUUGUCUUCCACCCUGGGGGUAUGUCCAUAGAUGGCUGAAGAGACCUAUUCUUGAUCUGCACGUUCUCCCGCAGUGAGGACAUCGAUUUCCAGGUGGAAGGCAGUCCCGGUGAGGGUUGGCUUGACGCUCCUUCCUCUUGGCACGUUUCUCCCUUAAGCCCUCCAUCCAUGCCUCUUCAAACUCCACAGCACUGCUGGUCACAGCUGACCUCCAAUUAGAGCGCUCAAGGGUCAGGGCUUCCCAGUUCUCAGUGUCUAUGCCACAGUUUUUAAGGUUGGCUUUAAGCCCAUCUUUAAAUCUCUUUUCCUGCCCACCAACAUUACGUUUCCCGUUCUUGAGUUCGGAGUAGAGCAACUGCUUUGGGAGACGGUGAUCAGGCAUUCGGACAACAUGGCCAGUCCAGCGGAGUUGAUGGCAUAGGAGCAUCAUUUCAAUGCUGAUGGUCUUUGCUUCUUCCAGCACGCUGACAUUUGUCCGCUUGUCUUCCCAAGAGAUUUGCAGGAUUUUUCUGAGGCAAUGCUGAUGGAAACGCUCCGGGAGUUUGGUGUGAUGUUUGUAGACCAUCCACGUUUCGCAGGCGUAGAGCAGGGUUGGGAGGACAAUGGCUUUAUAAACAAGCACCUUGGUAUCUCUACGGAUGUCCCGAUCAUCAAACACUCUCUGCUUCAUUCUGAAAAAUGCUGCGCUCGCAGAGCUCAGGCAGUGUUGUAUUUCAGUGUCAAUGUUGACUUUUGUGGAGAGGUGGAUGCCAAGGUAGCGGAAAUCGUCGUUUUCUAAUGUUACCCCAUUAAGCUGUAUUCCUGGCAUUGCAGAGGGAUUAGCUGGUGCCUGUUGGAAGAGCACUUUGGUUUUCUCGAUGUUCAAUGAGGUCGAGCUUCUCGUAUGCUUCUGCGAAGGUGUUUAGAGUGGCUUGUAGGUCUUCUUCUGAAUGCGCACAGACUACGUUGUCAUCGGCAUAUUGGAGUUCUAUAACAGAUGUUGUGGUGACCUUGGUUUUGGCUCUUAGUCUGCUGAGGUUAAAUAGCUUGCCAUCUGUCUGAUAGACGAUUUCCACACCAGUGGUACAUGUCAGGAUAACAUGAUGUACCGUGUUAUCCUGACAGCAUACUACCCAUAAAAGGAGUCACUGAGUUCCACUAACUGAAAAUGCUUCAGGAAUGCUUGCCUGAUGCAUAAAGUUAGGCUAAAGUGUUUUUUUAAAUACCCCAGUUAUUAUAUGCUUCCUCCAAAAUUUAGUUCUGUUUAUAGCAGUAGAUGCGGGCUAGGAGCUGGCAUCUAAUGGCGUCAUGUAAUGGUGAUGCUAUAACACAAAGGCACACAAAAGCAAGACGGAUCACUUCCUUUUGUCACCUUUGAUCCAUCUUGACAUGGUGACAACUGCGUAAGAAAGGCUCAUGUGAUUUCCUACGGCUAUUCUGUGACUGAUCUUUCUCAAAGUCCUUGAAUAUAUAAAUUACAUGUUCGCAUCAGUUGUCUUUUGACAGUACACAAUGCCACUGCAAUACCUCUAAAAUAUUGACAGAACAUCCUGUUUUAAAAUCUUCUUGUGCUUUGCUACUACAUCAGCUUGUUUAAACAUGUCCUGAGAUUGGGGACUUAAUCCUAACUUGAGUUUUUGUAGCUGGAUCAAAUAGCAUAUCAUUUUCAGGGUGGAGAACAGAAAAUAAAAAGCUGCCAAGGAGCUGAUAGCUCAAGGUAUUGAAAGCCAUUCCUGUUUGUUCACUAAAAGCACAAGAGAGACACUCAGUUCAUGGGAAUAAUUUAUUCUUUUUAAGCAUUUGAAAUUGUAUCAGGUGUUUAUUUACAUGGGAGCCCUCGGUGCAUAAAAUACUCAUUCGCUACUGCACAAUCGUUUUAUUCAUCAAACAGGUAUGAUUAACAUCAUCCCCAUUCUAUUUAUCGAGAUCAUUUGCAAUUCAAAUAUUGGGUCAUUCCUUUCCCAGCGAUUCCUGUGAAAGGCCUCACAGAGCAAACUGGAUUUGUACAAAAACAUUGUUCAAGCAAUAAAAGUAUUUGGUGUAA